AAAAUCAGAGUCUCUGCCUCCAUUUUGAGAAGGUUCUGUCCCUGGAGCCUGGACUGAUAGACCCCACAUCAGCUUGGCUUUUCCCACCUACUGUUCUGACUUCUGAUUGGCCAGAUGGAGUUCACUAACUGCCCUGAUUGGUCCAUCAUCCUGGAGCAGUGACAUUGCAGGAUAUUUUCUCCUCCUCCAGCCACACUUUGUCACCAACUGCUGCCAACUCGCCACCACUGCUGCCGACCUCGCCACCACUGCUUUGUCUCUGAAGUGAGAGUGCUCCUGGUGCCAUGAACGGAGACGACGCCUUUGCAAAGAGACCCAGGGAUGAUGAUAAAGCAUCAGAGAAGAGAAGCAAGGCCUUCAAUGAUAUUGCCACAUACUUCUCUAAGAAAGAGUGGGAAAAGAUGAAAUACUCGGAGAAAAUCAGCUAUGUGUAUAUGAAGAGAAACUAUGAGGCCAUGACUAAACUAGGUUUCAAUGUCACCCUCCCACCUUUCAUGUGUAAUAAACAGGCCACAGACUUCCAGGGGAAUUAUUUUGAUAAUGACCGUAACCGCAGGAUUCAGGUUGAACGUCCUCAGAUGACUUUUGGCAGGCUCCAGAGAAUCAUCCCGAAGAUCAUGCCCAAGAAGCCAGCAGAGGAAGGAAAUGAUUCGAAGGGAGUGUCAGAAGCAUCUGGCCCACAGAACGAUGGGAAACAGCUGCGCCGCCCCGGGAAAAGCAAAUACUUCUGAGAAGAUUAAUAAGAGAUCUGGACCCAAAAGGGGGAGACAUGCCUGGACCCACAGACUGCGUGAGAGAAACCAGCUGGUGAUUUAUGAAGAGAUCAGAGACCCUGAGGAAGAUGAUGAGUAACUCCCCUGGGGGAUAUGACACAUGCCCAUGAUGAGAAGCAGAACAUGGUGACCUUUCACGAACAUGGGCAUGGCUGCGGACCCUCGUCAUCAGGUGCAUAGCAAGUGAAAGCAAGUGUUCACAACAGUGAAAAGUUGAGCGUCAUUUUUCUUAGUGUGCCAAGAGUUCGAUGUUAGUGUUUCCAUUGUAUUUUCUUACACUGUGCCAUUCUGUUAGAUACUAUCCUUUUCAAUGAUGAGCAAGACAUACUUAAUGCAUAUUUCGGUUUGUGUAUCCAUGCACCUACGUCAGAAAACAAGUAUUGUCAUGUAUUCUCUGCAUAGAACAGCACUAUCCUCAUCUCUCCCCAGAUGUGACUACUGAGGGCAGUCCUGAGUGUUUAAUUUCAGACUUCUUCCUCUGCAUUUACACACCACACAACACACACACACACACACACACACCAAGUACCAUUAUAAGCAUCUCCCAUCUGCUUUUCCCAUUGCCGUGCAUCCUGGUCAAGCCCCCCUCACUCUGUUUCCUGUUCAGCAUGUACUCCCCUCAUCCGAUUCCCCUCUAUCAGUCACUGACAGUUAACAAACCUUUGCAAACAUUC